rnacentral:rRNA from 1 species
GACGAACGCUGGCGGCGUGCUUAACACAUGCAAGUCGAACGAAGAGCGAUGGAAGCUUGCUUCUAUCAAUCUUAGUGGCGAACGGGUGAGUAACGCGUAAUCAACCUGCCCUUCAGAGGGGGACAACAGUUGGAAACGACUGCUAAUACCGCAUACGAUCUAAUCUCGGCAUCGAGGAUAGAUGAAAGGUGGCCUCUACAUGUAAGCUAUCACUGAAGGAGGGGAUUGCGUCUGAUUAGCUAGUUGGAGGGGUAACGGCCCACCAAGGCGAUGAUCAGUAGCCGGUCUGAGAGGAUGAACGGCCACAUUGGGACGGAGACACGGCCCAGACUCCUACGGGAGGCAGCAGUGGGGAAUCUUCCGCAAUGGACGAAAGUCUGACGGAGCAACGCCGCGUGAGGGAGGACGGCCUUCGGGUUGUAAAGCUCGGUUAAUCGGGACGAAAGGCCUUCUUGCGAAUAGGGAGAAGGAUUGACGGUACCGGAAUAGAAAGCCACGGCUAACUACGUG